GGGGUCAGCGAGCUGGGCCAGAAUCCUCCGAGCCCGCAGGCGUCCGGCAGGGGCUCGGCCUGAAAGACAGCAGCGCCCGGCAGGGCCCCUGAGGCUGUCGCAGGGCCACUGGGCCUCAGCAGGCCGGUGGCUUCUGACUGCCGGGGGGCCUUCCAGAUUCAUCUGUGGACCGGGAAUAGUCAUCACUGCUGAGUGAGACCUGCAAGACCACCUACCACAGGACCACUGGAAGCGCAAAUCCUUGUCCUUGUCCGGCCAGCCCAGCGUGACUGUCGUGAAGGGAUCUGUGUAUGGACCAGGUUUAACGUACACCUCCGCGUUGCUUUUAUCGUUCUGCGGAAAGAGCAGCCGGCUGGUGAGACACUGCGCUACGGUUUGCUCAGCCUCACUGCGGGGCGCCUUGCACCCCAGAGCAAUCUGAGCCGACAGAGGAAGGCGUGGAGUGCAGACUGACCCUGCCCAGCCCACCUGGCUUCCCCUCGUGGGGCGUCCGCUGCAUUCUAAGGACCGCUGGGUAAUGCACAACUGAGAUACAGAAUUUGAAACGUAUGAAAGGGUAUAGCCCUCAGCCUCCAGUUCUGCGGCCCAGCCGGCCAGUGUCACCAGAUUCCUGGGUCACCAUCCACAGGGACCUAAGCAUACAUGAGCACAACAGCCAAGGAGAAGGAUAUCCUUACCACGAGAAUUGGGACAUGCUGAUUUGUUCCGGGUUGCUCUGGGUAAGAAGCGACCUACCUUCUG